GCGCCUGUAGCUCAGUGGAUAGAGCAACCCUCUCCUAAAGGGUAGGCCGGAGGUUCGAAUCCUCUCAGGCGCA
rnacentral:tRNA from 1 species